rnacentral:rRNA from 1 species
UACGUAGGGUGCGAGCGUUAAUCGGAAUUACUGGGCGUAAAGGGCGCGUAGGCGGUUGGAUAAGUCAGCUGUGAAAACCACGGGCUUAACUCGUGGCCUGCAGUUGAAACUGUCUGGCUUGAGUGUGGGAGAGGAGAGUGGAAUUCCUGGUGUAGCGGUGAAAUGCGCAGAUAUCAGGAGGAACACCGGUGGCGAAGGCGGUUCUCUGGGCCUGUACUGACGCUGAGGAACGAAAGCGGUGGGGAGCGAACAGG